UGACUGUAAUGGUCAUAAGGUUAAGGCGAGCUCACGUUCCCUCUUCUUUCUCUCCAAAUUCUUCAAUCUAACGAUUGAAGGCCACCAACAGUGCCCAGUUCGAACACUACGGUGAUAAUCCACUCGUGUAGGAAACUCACGAUGCUGCGGUUGUCCUAAGCAAUGAAGAUGAUUUCUUGAGGGAGGUUUCACUCUGCAGAGAGCUCUUCACCGUGGGGUGGCGGUGCAGGAUUACAUUCGUUGUGUGGUUUGGAGGGUGGAUGAGAUUUGGGUCUCAACUUUU
rfam:Botryotinia fuckeliana T4 unplaced genomic scaffold Contig_12897_V3__V4, whole genome shotgun sequence.